CGUGAGAUGUUGGGUUAAGUCCCGCAACGAGCGCAACCCCUAUUGUUAGUUGCUACGCAAGAGCACUCUAGCGAGACUGCCGUUGACAAAACGGAGGAAGGUGGGGACGACGUCAAAUCAUCAUGCCCCUUAUAUCCUGGGCUACACACGUAAUACAAUGGCGGUCAACAGAGGGAAGCAAAGCCGCGAGGCAGAGCAAACCCCCCAAAAGCCGUCCCAGUUCGGAUUGUAGGCUGCAACUCGCCUGCA
rnacentral:rRNA from 1 species